rnacentral:rRNA from 1 species
CGGGUGAGUAAUGCAUCGGAACGUGCGCGAUCGUGGGGGACAACCUGCCGAAAGGUGGGCUAAUACCGCAUACGCCCUACGGGGGAAAGCGGGGACCUUCGGGCCUCGCGCGAUGGCAGCGGCCGAUGUCCGAUUAGCUAGUUGGUGGGGUAAGGGCCCACCAAGGCGUCGAUCGGUAGCUGGUCUGAGAGGAUGAUCAGCCACACUGGGACUGAGACACGGCCCAG